rnacentral:rRNA from 2 species
GAGUGUUUAAAGCAGGCAUUUUGCUUGAAUACAUUAGCAUGGAAUAAUAAAUAGGACGGAUGGUUCUAUUUUGUUGGUUUCUAGGAUCACCGUAAUGAUUAAUAGGGAUAGUUGGGGGCAUUAGUAUUCAAUUGUCAGAGGUGAAAUUCUUGGAUUUAUUGAAGACUAACUACUGCGAAAGCAUUUGCCAAGGAUGUUUUCAUUAAUCAAGAACGAAAGUUAGGGGAUCGAAGACGAUCAGAUACCGUCGUAGUCUUAACCAUAAACUAUGCCGACUAGGGAUCGGACGGUGUUAGUAUUUUGACCCGUUCGGCGCCUUACGGGAAAC